UUGUGUUUGUUGCACAAAGAGGGUGGACAAGUUAUCGCGUCACUGUUACAAGGGAGGAGGUGAUACCAGUUGUUGUUGUUAAAGUGUAAGAUGUAGUAUGUUGGAUUUGUGAGGGACGAGUUAUGUGGAUUGGUUUUUGUGUUGUUCCAAGUUGUUGUGAGGUUGAUGUGUUCUGAGGGUGAGUUGAGAGGUGCAUUGAGAGGGUCAGGUUAUGGGGCUCAAGAGAAAAGUCCUAUUGUAGUUUUGUGUCAAUGUCAUAUGGUGAUGUAAAUGGAAUAUGACGUGUGAACGGAGGUAAGAUUCUACUCUCAGCCAAUUUAUCUUAUUUUCCAUUUCAUUUCCUCUUUUUUUUUUGUUAGUUAAAAAACAAUAAUUUAAAUUUUAUCAUUUUCAAUAAAUUC
rnacentral:lncRNA from 1 species